CACCAUUUCCCAGUACUGUACCAGACAGAAAUGUCAAAAAGAGCCUCUAAUUUGUCUGUGUACUAAACAUAAAAAGAAGAAAGCUUUUGCAACUGUGAGCAGUUCUGUCAAAAGACUGCUAUAUACAGCAACUGACAUUAAAGUAUCAUGAGGCGGCAGUGAAGAGCUCAAGCAUGUGCCCUGAAAUUUGGGAAAUUGGGAACUAAUGGCCCAUGAAGUAAAGUGUGGAGUGGACUGGUCAGUGGUGGUGAAUCUGGAGCAAUGAGAAUACCUGCCAAGGACCAAACGGGGUGGAAAAUGCAGGCUGAUGUGAAAUGACCCAGAAGAAUUCAUUGUAGGUCAAGAGAGUUCCUUGGGACUGAGAACCAUGACUUGGAAAAGCAGUGGGUGGAAUACGAUUGAACAAAGUCAAAUGGACCAGGAGACAACUAACUUCUAAUACAGAGAAGGAUUCCUAAUAACAUCGGACAUAUCUUUGACUUGAUUC